rnacentral:rRNA from 1 species
AGUGAACGCUGGCGGUAGGCCUAACACAUGCAAGUCGAACGGCAGCACAGUAAGAGCUUGCUCUUACGGGUGGCGAGUGGCGGACGGGUGAGGAAUACAUCGGAAUCUACUUUUUCGUGGGGGAUAACGUAGGGAAACUUACGCUAAUACCGCAUACGACCUACGGGUGAAAGCAGGGGAUCUUCGGACCCUGCGCGAUUGAAUGAGCCGAUGUCGGAUUAGCUAGUUGGCGGGGUAAAGGCCCACCAAGGCGACGAUCCGUAGCUGGUCUGAGAGGAUGAUCAGCCACACUGGAACUGAGACACGGUCCAGACUCCUACGGGAGGCAGCAGUGGGGAAUAUUGGACAAUGGGCGCAAGCCUGAUCUAGCCAUACCGCGUGGGUGAAGAAGGCCUUCGGGUUGUAAAGCCCUUUUGUUGGGAAAGAAAAGCAGCAGGUUAAUACCCCGCUGUUCUGACGGUACCCAAAGAAUAAGCACCGGCUAACUUCGUG